CCUCAAAAGAUUUAUUCUAAUAACUUUAUUUAAAAUUCAAUCAAACUAAAUAGUUCUAGUAUCUAUUUUAUAAUCAUGUUUUCUAACUAAAAGAUUAAGGUUGGAGAAUUUAUUUCAAAUUAACAUAAAGAAGAGGGUGUCUUUACCCUAUUAAAAUUGAUUGGAGUAAAAUCAAAGAAAAGAUUUUAAGUGAGAGGGAAGAGCAAGGACAGCGUGAUACAUAGUGAGAGGGAUUCUCAAAUAGAAGAUUGUAAGUGUAGUAGGAUUAGUUAUAAUUGUAUAGUAU
rnacentral:lncRNA from 1 species